rnacentral:lncRNA from 1 species
UUCAGACCGAAGUUGCAAAAUGCGGGCAUGGCGGGGUUCCCAAAGCAUCACUACUUUGCAAGGAGAUUCCACAAACUGAAGGACACCAGGCUUGAAGGCUAGAUGCUGCCCCCGCUCUAUGAUGAGAUAUGACCGCAACACGCCUCAGUUUGUCAAUGCCUAGCCAUGCACUCUCCAAGCCAGUCUCCAGGACCUACUCCACCGGCAGAACCUUCAUCCACACUGCAGUCCGUGUCUGGAACAGUCUCCCAGAUGGUGAAGUGGGAGAGAUCAAAGACAGUGGUGCUCCGUUCUUCAACCGUAGGGUGCAUCAACAUCUCCUGUCAACACAUUGAUUUGCUGCAUGCCAGUCCCUGUACACUUCCAGUUCUUGUUCUGAUGCUGCAUCCUUCCCAGCCCAUGACUCUGUUCAGGUUUGGUACAUGUACAUGUAACUCAGAGCCCUAUCCCAUGUUUACUUUCUUUCCUUCCUUCAGCGCAGGUAAGUCUCGUUUUAAACUUCUGUGGAAAGUGUACAGUGUAGUCUUUGAAUUGAAGCUUUACAAGAUUCCUCAAUGUCAAAGAAAAAUACUUUUUUUAAAUUAAAGGUAAAAGAUCUAUACCUGUACUGCACUAGAUAUUGACUGGUGUGACUACAGAUCAGUCUCAUUUUGAACUUCAGUAGACAGGGUGAUCUUGCAACUGAAAAUGUCCAAGCCCUUAUAGUCGUAGAAAAGCAUGGGAAAACAACCCAUCGUUAUUCGGUAAGACUUGGUUUUCCCAUGGUCUUACCAAUAAACAUUAUUCAUAAAUACCUCAGACAGUUUAGCUAUUCCUAUUGGUCGA